rnacentral:rRNA from 1 species
GCCUAAAGCGUCCGUAGCCGGCUCUGUAAGUUUUCGGUUAAAUCCAUAUGCUCAACAUAUGGGCUGCCGGGAAUACUGCAUAGCUAGGGAGUGGGAGAGGUAGACGGUACUCCGUAGGAAGGGGUAAAAUCCUUUGAUCUAUGGAUGACCACCUGUGGCGAAGGCGGUCUACCAGAACACGUUCGACGGUGAGGGAUGAAAGCUGGGGGAGCAAACCGGAUUAGAUACCCGGGUAGUCCCAGCUGUAAACUAUGCAAACUCAGUGAUGCAUUGGCUUGUGGCCAGUGCAGUGCCGCAGAGAAGUCGUUAAGUUUGCCGCCUGGGAAGUACGUACGCAAGUAUGAAACUUAAAGGAAUUGGCGGGGGAGCACCACAAGGGGUGAAGCCUGCGGUUCAAUUGGAGUCAACGCCAGAAAUCUUACCCGGAGAGACAGCAGGAUGAAGGUCAAGUUGAAGCCUUUACCAGACAAGCUGAGAAGUGGUGCAUGGCCGUCGCCAGCUCGUGCCGUGAGGUGUCCUGUUAAGUCAGGUAACGAGCGAGAUCCUUGCCUCUAGUUGCCACCAUUACUCUCAGGAGUAGUGGGGUGAAUUAGCGGGACUGCCGUAGUUAAUACGGAGGAAGGAGAGGGCCACGGCAGGUCAGUAUGCCCCAA